AUUGAAUAUCCUUAGUUUCAGCUUCCACGUUAGAAGAGAAUUGCAGUAACCACUCAGGGACAAGCAGAAAGAAGUCAUACUUUCAUCAUGUCAUUUUGGAAACCCUGUGAUGUUCUAAAGAGAUGUCCUACUCAUUGCUGACUCUGCUAUUGCUGCCAGCCUCUGAAUUCCCUCUAUUUCCAUGCUCCACACAGAAGAUAUGUAAGGUUUAGAUUGCUGUAGUACAUCCAUGCAAACUCAAUGUUCUUCAAAGCUGUCCAAGUUUAACAUCUGUGUAAUCCAGCAUAAAAGUUGUAUGAUGAUGAUUCUGUCUUCUUAAGGUCAGAUGAGGAAUAGCAGCAAUUUUUUUAUCUCAAAAGACUCUGAGUUCCUUCAGAAACUUCUGAGGAGGAAGCCCAGGGAAGGGAACUUUAAAUCUUCAUCUGAGGAACAGAGGAGCCAAGUCUGAUUCAUCUGGCCAGGAGAAUUAUUCCUGCAGGUCCAAGAUUCAUGGGAAAUAAUUUACACUUCUGAUCCUUAUGGUGUGAAAAGAAAAUCAUCUGUAUUAUAUAAGUUAACCAUAGAAUGAUUCAGCUUUUUCACUGCAGCCUAGCUAAGGCCUUGAAAGAAAUGAUUCCUUGGUUCAUCUUAAUGGGAAACAAAUCUGAAAUCAUAAUUGAAAUGUGUGCACCCUCAUUGCCAGCUAUUCAAAUAAUGAUUAAAGAGCAUAAAAGUAAAAGCAGAUAUCACAUUAUGAUAAUGUGAUUUUAUCAUGAGUGCAUUUUGGCAUCAUAUGUACCUGGCCCUGGGUUAUGAGUGGUUUGAGAGAGCAUAAUCACUUAUUUUUCAAGCUUCC